CCUAAAGAAGGUGGUAAGCUCCACCUAAGGCUAAAUAUCACUGUGAGACCGAUAGCAAACAAGUACCGUGAGGGAAAGUUGCAAAGAACUUUGAAGAGAGAGUUCAACAGGACGUGAAACCGUUUGCAGGGAAACAGAUGGACCCACGAAGUCCAGUUGAGUGUGAAAUUCACAUUUCAAGACUGGUUAAGCUUGAGCUACAGCUUCUUACGGAGUUGUACUCGGGUUUUUGACUGUCGAGAGAUGCAUUUUUCACAUUCACGAAGGAGCUCUGACUCCUCAAACAAACCGAUCUGCAUAGGGCAGCUUUGGUGUGUAGUAAGGCUCUUGUAGUCUUCGAUACACACUGAAGUUUGUAGUGAGGUUUAACUGAGGGGUUGAAUUUCUCACGGUUGUGAGUGAUUCAGUUUGUCGGAGAAUAUAUUUAACAGGGAAGAGGCAGUAGGCUCUUUUCGACUCUUGUAGUUGAAAUUGUCUUCUGUUCGCUUACCAAUAUGUUGGAUAUAUUUGCCAAUGAUAAUCCAGAGUAAGUAGGUCGGUCAUCCAUCUGA
rnacentral:rRNA from 1 species